GGCUCACAAUCAAUAGCCUAUGAAAUUAUAUGGAUAAAAUAAAUUAACAUAUGCACCUCAAAUGCCUAAGCUGAGAUGCUAAGAACAAUAUAAUAAAAUUUUGAGUCAAUGUGCUAAAAAUAAUUUACUCCUUCUCCUUCCGGUCCUUGCCGGUUCUUCUACCUCUUUAGAAGGCUUUCUUUUUGUCCCUACCGUGCAGAAGGAGGCCUCCUCCCUUCCCGGUAGUGGGUUGCCCUCCCCAUUGUCGGAUUGGUUUGUAGAUAUUCUCCUUUUGUUUGGUCAGCAGCGAAGCUGUUUUAUGAGAGUGUUUGUAUAGCUGCAAUCUGUUAUGGUUUUUUCUGGUGUUUAUUUUCUUUUUGUUUCCUUUUCGAUCUUUUUUGCAGGUUUUGGACUGAACUGGUUCUGUGCCCCUCUUUGUUCCUCAUCCGACGAUGAGUGGUAAGGCAAUGACUCUUGCUUAGAGUAAAUCGCGCCACUUUCAUUCGCUAUUAUGGAUCAGUUUGAAGCUUUCUCAAUCCAGGAAUUGAUUGCUGAAGAAUCCGAUGGUUACAUGUGGUUCUCUCUGUCUCCGGCUCUUCCUCUUUUUGGCAACUGGGUGGCUUGAGUUUGUGUUUAUUUUCUGUUUAUUCCUCUGUCCUUCAAUCUAGUGGUUAUGGCUUGAAAAAGCUACUGUAGAGAGGAGCGUCCUCUUCAGCUUCAGCCUCUACGGCGCACCUAUUCCUCCAAACUCGAGUCAGU
rnacentral:lncRNA from 1 species